rnacentral:tRNA from 1 species
UUUAUAUUAGUUGAAGC